rnacentral:lncRNA from 1 species
CCCUCUUCUUCCGGGCCCCUUUCCUCUCCCUGAACCGGGGACUGGAGAGCCGCUUGUCCGAAGGCAAGCUUGGGGAUCCUUCCAGCUAGCGGCCUCAGCAGUUUGGGGGCGGGGCGGGAGCGGAGGGGGCGACGAUGCGCCUCCAGACGUGACGGGGCUGCCGCCGCCGCCGCCGCCGGUGCCACCGCCCGUGCCAGUGCCCGUGCCGCCUCUGCCGCGGGAGGCCAGGCGUGAAGAUGUGGCUCUUUGGGAUUACACGUGGAGACAGGCGAUCGGGAUCGGCCCCGGGGAGCGCCGGCUGGUGAGACGCGCUGCGCCCCCCACCCCCUUGUGCCCCGGAGAAGCGGCUUCAAUGGCGCCAUCCCCCAAGAGGAGCCGCCGGAAAGAUGCCAACGCCUUGCCGAGCAUGUCCUCAACUUUUUGGGCUUUCAUGAUCCUGGCGAGUCUGCUGAUCGCCUACUGCAGAACAUGGCUGUGCUGUGAAGGAAGGUGCCUCCGUGCAUGGAAAAACGACAAGUCUUCCUUUUGCUGUGGAACUGAGGGCAUGAAUGAUUUAAUCUUUAAUAAAAUGUGUCUGCGACUUCAUAUUAGAGGGAUAUUUGAUAAUUGUGCUCUGUUGACAUUGCUGUCGACACAGGAUAUGGAAUACUAAUGUGGCCUUCCAGAGAAAAGAGCUGAUUUAGUUCAUGUAUCAUCUUGUUCAGUAAUCAGGACUUCAUGUGCGUGCUGGGGGUCUGGAAUAAGAAGAUGCAGAGUGGCCAAAUAGAUGCAGAAAAGUAACAUAAAGGUUUUUCAGAAGGAAGUCAAGUCAUACUAUUUAGGGAAAGCCUAGAAACAGAGAAGGUCAAAGCAGGGUUUGGGCAUAGAAUAUAGUAGAGAGAACAGAGAAUGGCAAAUCUGGGAGGCAGCUUAGACUGGAGAAUUUCUUUCAGAUUUGGAAUAGACCUUAGAUCAGAUAAUAUCAGAGUUGAGAGAGAACUUAAAGAGUAUCUAACGAGUAUAGUCAUGCACUUGAAGAGAUUGUGUAUGCUUUACAUAGAAUUAAUCAAUCAUGAACAUAUAUAUUUUUAGUAUUUAUUUUUAGUUUCCAACAUUCAUCUUUACAAGAUUUUGAAUUUUAAAUUUUCUCCUCCUCCUCCCCCUCCCCUCUACACUGAUAUAGACCAUACAUGUGUGAUCAUAUUAAACAUUUUUCCACAUUAGUCAUAUUGUAAAAAAGAAUUAGAACCAAAGGAAAUAAGCCAUGAAGAAGAAAAAACAAAACAAAACAAAAAGGGAAAAUAGUCUGCUUCCAUCUGCAUUCAGACUCCAUAGCUCUUUCUCUGGAAGUGGGUAGCAUUUUCUGUCAUGAAUCUUUUGGAAUUGUCUUAGAUCAUUUCAUUGCUGAGAAGAGCCAAGUCUAUCAAAGUUGUUCAUCAUACCAUAUUGCUAUUACUGUGUACAAUGUUCUCCUGGUUCUGCUCACUUUACUCAGCAUUAGUUCAUUCAAAUAUUUCCAGGUUAUUCUGAAGUUCGCCUGCUCAUCAUUUCUUGUGGAACAAUAAUAUUCCAUCACAUUCAUAUACCACAACUUGUUCAGCCAUUUCCCAAUGGAUGGGCAUCACCUCAAUUUCAGUUCUUGACAACCACAAAAGAAGCUGCUAUAAGUAUUU